rnacentral:lncRNA from 1 species
UUACUCCUGCCAUGCCACAUAGGGUGGUUAGCUAAGCAUAUGGUUGAUUUGUCAUCUACAAAUACUUCAUCUUUUUAGGUUCCAUGAUCUUGAGCUCUUCUAACAUCAUUUCUAUCCAUAAAGCUUGGAAUGUUGCAUAAGAAGUUAUUACAUAUUCAGCUUCGCAAGAUGAUAAUUCUAUUAUUCCUUUCUUCCUUGAACUCCAAGAGAUUGGAGCACCUCAAAUCAUGAAUAGGUAAC